CUAAACCUUUGGUUAUUUAGCUAUCUUUUCUGCAUACCUACAUAGUAUACAGAAUACAAGCAAGCAAGACUUAACCACUCAACCAAAACGACCUCAAAAAGGGGCAUACAGUUGAACAUGGUUAAUUUUUCAGAUCGCGAAAUUCUUUUAUUCGGAAUUGGCAGUUCAAGUGUAAAGAACUCAUAAUAUUUUGGAAUGACAGUUCCUUCAAGUGGAUAAAGCAGUCUCAGUUGGGAAUUACGUUACCUACUGCUCUGCCUACUAUAUACAUUCUUGCUGGGCCCAGCUCCCAUGACCCGGCCGAAAUGCUUCUUCCUCAGCUGAGAGAACCGCGGACAGGCAAAAAGGAUUUGGUGAUCUCGAUACAAUUGUCCUUUUUCCUCUCUUUUACCUCUCUUUUUUUUAAUUUUGGGCCGAAGGGGAGUUGUAUUCCGUCCAUACACAGUUAAUAUCCCUCCUUGCCUGAGUGUUUCCUCCAAGGGCGAGUGCCGGUUGUACUGUACCAUCAUGUGUUAGAUGGCGCAAGCAGCCCCUUCUGAAUGUUGCCUGGUUGCGGCGGUGGAAGAUGGUUGAUGUUGUGAGCAGCUGCCCUGGCGAUCACUGCUUGUAUAUUGAUGCUGAUACACAUGAAGCAGUGGUGGAGCUCAGAAUAGUGCUUCAAUGCUAGAUCAAUAUAGAGAAGACUUAACUGAUCUCUGUUCUGCUGGAGUCUAGAAAGAUAAUUGCUCUCCAGCCAACACAGAUCAGAGGCAUCAUGGAACUUGUCAUAUAUGGCAGCAGCUCAAAGCUUUCCUUUUGAACAGAUAGACUGAAUUCAACAGUAUGGUGGUGCUGAUGCCUUGGGUUUUCUCUGUUACUUGAGUCAUUCUUGUCACAAUAUCAGCUAUGAUAAAGGUUGUCUCUGAGAAAUCCAUAUAUUAGUCAGUCAAGCUCUAGAGUUUCAUUCUAUCUUGUUUUAGCACAUCAACUAAAAACAUAUCAGAAAAGUCUUCACAGAAAAUUUCAACAAGUACUGUCCACUCACAGUUAAGCUUGUCAGAUUAG
rnacentral:sRNA from 1 species